rnacentral:rRNA from 1 species
GAUCAUGGCUCAGAACGAACGCUGGUGGCGUGUCUUAUACAUGCAAGUCGAGCGAGGCAGCAAUGCCGAGCGGCGAACGGGUGAGUAACGCGUAAGCAAUCUGCCCCAUAUCAGGAAAUACCCGUGCCAACGCGCGGUUAAUGUCCAGGAGAGUGGCCCCCUGCAUGGAGGGUUGACUAGAGAUUUAUCGGUAUGGGAUGAGCUUGCGUCCGAUUAGCUAGUUGGCGGGGCAACGGCCCACCAAGGCGACGAUCGGUAGCCGGCCUGAGAGGGUGAUCGGCCACAUUGGGACUGAGAUACGGCCCAGACUCCUACGGGAGGCAGCAGUAGGGAAUAUUGCACAAUGGGGGAAACCCUGAUGCAGCAACGCCAACGUGUGGGAAGGAGCAUUUCGGUGUGUAAACCACUGUCAUUGAGGGAAUAAGGCCCGCCCUCGGACGGGAUUGAAUGUACCUUGAGAGGAAGCACCGGCAAACUUCGUGCCAGCCGCGGC